CGCGCGCGUGUCUCCGGUGCGAGAGCCCCCAGCUGGCCCUGCCGCGGGGCGCGGCGAGUUGGGCUCCGGCAGGUGGUGACGCCGGCGGCGGCAGCUGGCUUUUCGUUUCUGCCCUGGCGAUCCGAUGGGCGGCAGAUUUUAUUCUUUGUCUUGCCUUAUUACACUGGCUGAAGUCUUUAACACAAUGAGUAUGGUGGAAGUGAUAUAAUGUGAGUUCUGGAUCCGGUGCCUUAAGAUGCUCGAAACUUCUACCCUGACUCUUUUGGAGCAAAGCUGCCAAGUAAAGAAGCUUAAGCUGGUUACCAAAUGAUGAGAAACUACUGGGAGAGGAAGGUCCCAGCCUCCAGCUACCCCCACCAAGGUCAAGGGACAAAUCUUAUGAGUCAUGAUGAUGAUCUUUACAUUUCAUGCUUAAUGUGGAAUAAACAUAUUGUAGAAUACAGUAGUCCCUCCUUAUCCACAGUUUCGCUUUUCGUGGUUUUAGUUACUGCAAACCGAGGUCCGAAAAUAUUACAUGAAAAAUCCCAGAAAUAAACAAUUCAUACAUUUUAAAUUGCA